rnacentral:lncRNA from 1 species
UCUACAUCCGGACUCAACUGAGAUUCAUCAGUCAGAUUCUCCAAUUGAUCUUUCCAAGAAGGAGAAGCUCUAGCCAUGAGAAUGACUCUGAAGAAGACAAAGACUUUAGAGGAAAGGACUCAAAAGAAAAAUGAAGUUGACCUAAAAGUUAAAAGCGAUAACCUUGGAUGUUGGGGCAACAAUCCGACAGAGUUUCAGUACCAAAAAUAGUGAAAAAUAAAAAUUUGACUGAGAGCGAUCUUUUAUAUAGGAUCCCUCAACGGUCGAGAUGAAGGCUGACAAUCGAAGAUCUACCAAAUGACGACAUGUGGCAACAUCUGGACCGUCCAUUGAUCAGACAAUUCGAUGCACCUGUCCCAGAUUGAGCCACGUUACCCCUAUCCGCAUGAACAAUUCCAACCCAAUAACAUUCAGACACGUGGAACAAAUCUACUUGUCAGAAUCAUAUCAUCCGACGUCGAAUUGACUUCUCGAAAUGAUGUCUGACACUGACAACUGAUAUUGAAUCGUUCGAUCAGUGUGACAGACAACUGUACCUGCCAAC